UUGAACGCUGGCGGCAUGCCUAACACAUGCAAGUCGAACGGCAGCAUGGUCUAGCUUGCUAGACUGAUGGCGAGUGGCGAACGGGUGAGUAAUGCGCAGGAAUAUGCCUCAAAGAGUGGGACAACUUAGGGAAACUUAAGCUGAUACCGCAUAAGCUCUGAGGAGGGAAGCUGGGGACCUUCGGGCCUGGCGCUUUGAGAAUAGCCUGCGUCUGAUUAGCUAGUUGGUAGGGUAAGAGCCUACCAAGGCGACGAUCGGUAGCUGGUCUGAGAGGAUGAUCAGCCACACUGGAACUGAGACACGGUCCAGACUCCUACGGGAGGCAGCAGUGGGGAAUAUUGGACAAUGGGGGGAACCCUGAUCCAGCAAUGCCGCGUGUGUGAAGAAGGCCUGAGGGUUGUAAAGCACUUUCAGUGGGGAGGAGGGUUGAUAGGUUAAGGGCUAAUUGACUGGAUGUUACCCACAGAAGAAGCACCGGCUAACUCCGUGCCAGCCGCCGCAGUAA
rnacentral:rRNA from 1 species